CCUUCCGUAGGUGAACCUGCGGAGGGAUCAUUACUCGASUUUACAACUCCCAAACCCCUGUGAACAUACCACUUGUUGCCUCGGCGGAUCAGCCCGCUCCCGGUAAAACGGGACGGCCCGCCAGAGGACCCCUAAACUCUGUUUCUAUAUGUAACUUCUGAGUAAAACCAUAAAUAAAUCAAAACUUUCAACAACGGAUCUCUUGGUUCUGGCAUCGAUGAAGAACGCAGCAAAAUGCGAUAAGUAAUGUGAAUUGCAGAAUUCAGUGAAUCAUCGAAUCUUUGAACGCACAUUGCGCCCGCCAGUAUUCUGGCGGGCAUGCCUGUUCGAGCGUCAUUUCAACCCUCAAGCACAGCUUGGUGUUGGGACUCGCGUUAAUUCGCGUUCCCCAAAUUGAUUGGCGGUCACGUCGAGCUUCCAUAGCGUAGUAGUAAAACCCUCGUUACUGGUAAUCGUCGCGGCCACGCCGUUAAACCCCAACUUCUGAAUGUUGACCUCGGAUCAGGUAGGAAUACCCGCUGAACUUAAGCAUAUCAAUAAGCGGAGGAAA
rnacentral:misc_RNA from 1 species